GCGGAUAGUCCAAUAGUAUAAUUUGUGUAAAGUACUUUGGAUUAAGGCCUCCAAACAAGAAAUUAAACAGAGUUCAUUCUGUACAGAGCUCUCAACAAUGACGACAAAGUGGCGCCUCGCUCUUUGCAACCUUUCUUAGUUUUUUUACCUUCUGAAUUUUGAAGGAGUUAUCGGCCGUUCCUAGGGAUUUUAGCUUCGUCGUCUCCUCUUUGCAACCUUUCUGAGUUUAAUUCUUUAUAACCUUCUGAAUUUUAGCUUCGCCAUCUCUAGGGAUUUUAGGUACGAUCGAAUUUUACCUUCUGAAUUUUGAAGGAUCGAUCGGUUAGCGGUCGAGUCUCUAGGGAUUUUAGGCUGAAAG
rnacentral:lncRNA from 1 species